rnacentral:rRNA from 1 species
AAUCAACGCUGGCGGCGUGCCUCAGACAUGCAAGUCGAACGAUUAAACUUUCCUUCGGGAAAGAUAUAAAGUGGCGCACGGGUGAGUAACACGUAGGUAAUCUACCGAAGGGUGGGGAAUAACAAUCGGAAACGAUUGCUAAUACCGCAUAAUGCAGCGGCACCGCGAGGUGACAGUUGUUAAAGGUGCAAUCCGCCUUAUGAGCAGCAUGCGGCAGAUUAGCUAGUUGGUAAGGUAAUGGCUUACCAAGGCUACGAUCUGUAACCGACCUGAGAGGGUGGUCGGUCACACUGACACUGAAUAACGGGUCAGACUCCUACGGGAGGCAGCAGUCGGGAAUUUUGGGCAAUGGGCGAAAGCCUGACCCAGCAACGCCGCGUGAAGGAUGAAGUCUUUCGGGAUGUAAACUUCGUAAGAAUAGGAAGAAUAAAUGACGGUACUAUUUGUAAGGUCCGGCUAACUACGUGCCAGCCGCCGCAGUAAGAC